CUCCUACUCGCCAUCAUUCCGAUGGUGGGUUAGCACGCGCUUGCGUUUCUAAGAUGCAGCAACCCGCCGAAGAGGCGGGUUUU
rnacentral:sRNA from 1 species